rnacentral:sRNA from 1 species
GGGACUCAUAUUUUUCCCAGACGCGGAGAUCACGCUGACCUGGCAGCGGGAUGGGGAGGAACAGACCCAGGACACAGAGCUUGUGGAGACCAGGCCUGCAGGGGAUGGAACCUUCCAGAAGUGGGCCGCUGUGGUGGUGCCUUCUGGAGAGGAACAGAGAUACACAUGCCAUGUGCAGCACGAGGGGCUGCCCCAGCCCCUCAUCCUGAGAUGGGAGCAGUCUCCCCAGCCCACCAUCCCCAUCGUGGGCAUCGUUGCUGGCCUUGUUGUCCUUGGAGCUGUGGUCACUGGAGCUGUGGUCGCUGCUGUGAUGUGGAGGAAGAAGAGCUCAG